rnacentral:rRNA from 1 species
AGAGUUUGAUUCUGGCUCAGAUUGAACGCUGGCGGCAGGCCUAACACAUGCAAGUCGAACGGUAGCACAGGAGAGCUUGCUCUCUGGGUGACGAGUGGCGGACGGGUGAGUAAUGCAUGGGGAGCUGCCCAAUCGAGGGGGAUACCAGCUGGAAACGGCUGCUAAUACCGCAUACGCCCUGAGGGGGAAAGGUGGGGACCUUCGGGCCUACCGCGAUUGGAUGCACCCAUGUGGGAUUAGCUAGUUGGUGAGGUAACGGCUCACCAAGGCGACGAUCUCUAGCUGGUCUGAGAGGAUGACCAGCCACACUGGAACUGAGACACGGUCCAGACUCCUACGGGAGGCAGCAGUGGGGAAUAUUGCACAAUGGGGGAAACCCUGAUGCAGCCAUGCCGCGUGUGUGAAGAAGGCCUUCGGGUUGUAAAGCACUUUCAGUAGGGAGGAAGGGGUGAUGACUAAUAUUCAUCAUCAUUGACGUUACCUACAGAAGAAGCACCGGCUAACUGCCGUGCCAGCAGCCGCGUAAU